ACAUGCAAGUCGAACGAAGCAUUGGAAGCUUGCUUUUGAUGCUUAGUGGCGGACGGGUGAGUAACGCGUGAGCAACCUGCCUUUCAGAGGGGGAUAACGUUUGGAAACGAACGCUAAUACCGAAUAAAAUAUAAAAGCCAAUUUUAUAUUGAAAGGAGCCUUUAAAGCUUCGCGAUUAGAUGGGCCUGCGGCGUAUUAACUUGUUGGUGAGGUAACGGCUCACCAAACCUUCGAUGGAUAGGGGUUCUGAGAGGAAGGUCCCCACAUUGGAACUGAGACACGGUCCAAACUCC
rnacentral:rRNA from 1 species